GCCAUGCGCGUGUUGCAGCUCACUGGAAUUUCAUGCUUGGCAGAGGGUAUUUCAUAGCCUGUCACCAGUGAGGAGGGAAACAUGAUGGAAAAACGCUUGUAAUAACUGAUGUGCUGUUUCAUAACCAGCUGCUGAAAGCACACGAGAAGCAUCACCUUACGAAGGCUGAGCGAGGCAGGUGGAGGUGAUAUCUUCCUCCCUUUCCCGGCCCUAGACAUUCUCUGAGGCUCCUAGCAAAAUCCUGUCUUAAGCUUCUGUGAGGGAACACACCGAUGUCAGGGGCGUGUUUUCAGCUGGAAGCGGCGGGCGGGACGCGCGGCGGGCCGGCGCUCCCGCAUAGCUGCGAUGUUUGGCACUCGCGGCGCUCACGCCUCGCUCCCCCGCUGCGUCUCCGUUUGGACCCCGCUCGCAGUCACGACCUGUCCUCCCUCCAUCUGGGAUCUGCCCUGUUUCGGCGUGAGGAAAUAGAACAUCUGGAGAAAUAAAAACUUCUGUACCUAUCACCCCCAUUCAGCCCUCCGGUCGU